GGGCACCUCAGUAGCGGGUUUAUCCGCGCGAAAGGGGGCCUUUAACAUAGCGGGUCCAAAGACAAGAACCUAAGGACACGCACGCUAAACGGAAGACAGAAA
rfam:Tropicibacter litoreus R37 strain CECT 7639 genome assembly, contig: 0001